rnacentral:lncRNA from 1 species
UGGGUAGUAGCCAUUUUGGCGUUACUUGUUGGCUCGGCAAUCGCUACUGAACCUUACAUUUAUAGCUCUCCUCCACCACCGUAUGUGUAUAAAUCUCCACCGCCUCCGGUUGCAUCUCCUCCACCUCCUUAUGAAUACAAAUCUCCUCCCCCUCCGGUUAAGUCCCCUCCACCACCGUAUGAGUAUAAAUCUCCUCCUCCUCCUGUUAAGUCUCCUCCACCACCUUAUUACUACCACUCUCCACCACCACCCGUGAAGUCUCCUCCCCCUCCAUAUGUAUACCACUCUCCUCCUCCUCCGGUUAAGUCUCCUCCACCACCGUAUUACUACCACUCUCCACCACCACCCGUGAAGUCUCCCCCCCCUCCAUAUGUGUACCACUCUCCUCCUCCUCCGGUUAAGUCUCCUCCACCACCGUAUUACUACCACUCUCCACCACCACCCGUGAAGUCUCCUCCCCCUCCUUAUGUCUACCACUCUCCUCCUCCUCCGGUUAAGUCUCCUCCACCACCGUAUUACUACCACUCUCCACCUCCCCCGGUGAAAUCUCCACCACCACCGUAUUAUUACCACUCUCCUCCGCCUCCGGUGAAAUCUCCUCCUCCUCCUUAUUACUAUCAUUCUCCACCUCCCGUGAAAUCUCCUCCACCACCAUACUACUAUCAUUCACCACCUCCUCCAGUGAAAUCUCCACCACCACCAUACUACUACCAUUCUCCACCUCCUCCAGUGAAGUCUCCUCCACCACCGUACUACUAUCACUCUCCACCCCCUCCGGUGAAGUCUCCUCCACCACCGUACUAUUAUCACUCUCCUCCUCCUCCGGUUAAGUCUCCACCUCCACCUUACUACUACCACUCUCCUCCUCCUCCGGUCAAGUCUCCACCUCCACCUUACUACUACCACUCUCCACCACCACCAGUCAAAUCUCCACCACCACCGUACUACUACCACUCUCCUCCUCCCCCAGUUAAAUUUCCACCGCCGCCAUACUAUUAUCACUCUCCACCACCACCAGUCAAAUCUCCUCCACCUCCAUACUACUACCAUUCACCGCCUCCUCCGGUGAAAUCACCACCUCCACCUUACUAUUACUCAUCUCCACCACCACCAAAAUCUUACCCUCCACCAUAUUACUACUCAUCUCCACCACCACCACCAAAGUCGUACUCUCCACCAUACUACUAUUCAUCACCACCACCUCCGGUGUCAUACCCUCAUCCUCACCCACACACACAUCCACUUGUCUUCAAAGUUGUUGGUAAGGUGUACUGUU